rnacentral:rRNA from 1 species
ACGGGUGAGUAACACGUAGGCAACCUGCCCUCAAGUUUGGGACAACUACCGGAAACGGUAGCUAAUACCGAAUAGUUGUUUUCUUCGCCUGAAGGAAACUGGAAAGACGGAGCAAUCUGUCACUUGGGGAUGGGCCUGCGGCGCAUUAGCUAGUUGGUGGGGUAACGGCUCACCAAGGCGACGAUGCGUAGCCGACCUGAGAGGGUGAUCGGCCACACUGGGACUGAGACACGGCCCAGACUCCUACGGGAGGCAGCAGUAGGGAAUCUUCCGCAAUGGGCGAAAGCCUGACGGAGCAAUGCCGCGUGAGUGAUGAAGGUUUUCGGAUCGUAAAGCUCUGUUGCCAGGGAAGAACGCUUGGGAGAGUAACUGCUCUCAAGGUGACGGUACCUGAGAAGAAAGCCCCGGCUAACUACGUGCCAGCAGCCGCGGUAAUACGUAGGGGGCAAGCGUUGUCCGGAAUUAUUGGGCGUAAAGCGCGCGCAGGCGGUCAUUUAAGUCUGGUGUUUAAUCCCGGGGCUCAACCCCGGAUCGCACUGGAAACUGGGUGACUUGAGUGCAGAAGAGGAGAGUGGAAUUC